CCCCUAGUAACUGCGAGUGAAGCGGGAAAAGCUCAAAUUUAAAAUCUGGCAGUCUUUGAUUGUCCGAGUUGUAAUCUAGAGAAGUGUUAUCCGCGUUGGACCGUGUACAAGUCUCCUGGAAUGGAGCAUCAUAGAGGGUGAGAAUCCCGUCUUUGACACGGACUACCAGUGCUUUGUGAUGCGCUCUCAAAGAGUCGAGUUGUUUGGGAAUGCAGCUCAAAAUGGGUGGUAAAUUCCAUCUAAAGCUAAAUAUUGGCGAGAGACCGAUAGCGAACAAGUACCGUGAGGGAAAGAUGAAAAGAACUUUGGAAAGAGAGUUAAACAGUACGUGAAAUUGCUGAAAGGGAAACGCUUGAAGUCAGUCGCGUUGGCUGGAAAUCAACCUUGCUUUUGCUGGGCGUACUUUCUAGUCAAUGGGUCAGCAUCAAUUUUGACCAUUGGAAAAAGUGUAGAGGAAUGUGGCAUCUUCGGAUGUGUUAUAGCCUUUGCUCGCAUACAGUGGUUGGGAUUGAGGAAUUCAGCAGGGAAAAAA
rnacentral:rRNA from 3 species